rnacentral:snRNA from 1 species
AGCUUUGCGCAGUGGCAGUAUCGUAGCCUAUGAGGUUUAUCCGAGGCGCGAUUAUAGCUAGUUGAAAACUUUACCCAAUACCCCGCCUUGACGACUUGAAAUAUAGUCGGCAAUGGCAAUUUUUGACAGCCUCCAAGGAGG